rnacentral:rRNA from 1 species
GUGGGGAAUAUUGCACAAUGGGGGAAACCCUGAUGCAGCGACGCCGCGUGGAGGAAGAAGGUCUUCGGAUUGUAAACUCCUGUUGUUGAGGAAGAUAAUGACGGUACUCAACAAGGAAGUGACGGCUAACUACGUGCCAGCAGCCGCGGUAAAACGUAGGUCACAAGCGUUGUCCGGAAUUACUGGGUGUAAAGGGAGCGCAGGCGGGGAACAAGGUGGAAGUGAAAUCCAUGGGCUCAACCCAUUAACUGCUUUCAAAACUGUUUUUCUUGAGUAGUGCAGAGGGGGGCGGAAUUCCCGGUGUAGCGGUGGAAUGCGUAGAUAUCGGGAGGAACACCAGUGGCGAAGGCGGCCUACUGGGCACCAACUGACGCUGAGGCUCGAAAGUGUGGGUAGCAAACAGGAUUAGAUACCCUGGUAGUCC